rnacentral:misc_RNA from 1 species
UCCGAGUUGACCCCGGCAGUCUCCCACGAGUCCCCGGCAUAACCCGCUGGCAACAUGGGAUAAGGGUUGCGCUCGUUGCGGGACUUAACCCAACAUCUCACGACACGAGCUGACGACAGCCAUGCAGCACCUAUAUAACGGCCCGAAGGCUUAAACAUUUCUGCUUAAUUCCGUUACAUUUCGAGCCCAGGUAAGGUUUUUCGCGUUGCAUCGAAUUAAACCACAUGCUCCACCGCUUGUGCGGGCCCCCGUCAAUUUCUUUGAGUUUUAACCUUGCGGCCGUACUCCCCAGGCGGGGUACUUAUCGCGUUUGCUACGGCACUGAAGGGGUCAAUACCUCCAACACCAAGUACCCAUCGUUUACGGCGUGGACUAC